GCGCCCUUGUGCGCGCGCGCGCCGUCGCUCCUCGAUGGCGGCCUGUUCCUCGGCCGCGCGCUCGUCCAAUGUGCGGCCGGCGCGUCGCGCGAGAUCCGCCAGUGCGGCACGGCGCGAUGCGGUUUCACGCACCAACGCAUCAAUGCGCUUGCGCACGCCGCCCGCGCGCGACAAGACAACGGGGCGCACCGAGGCACGCGCCAAUCGGCGUGCCUGCCGACGGGCCGGUUCGAUCAUGACGGGCACAACAAAGGAGAGCCUCUGGGCGUCGUCGGCGCCCAGGCCACCGAAAUUUUCCAGGGCGUCGCCGAUGGACGUCCCCUCGUGGAGGUCCCGAGGCGCCAGGCCGGGCAACGGCGCGGCGGCCUCAAAGUCAAACAGGCGCGGAUGCGGCAGGAGCACCCGGUAGGCGUCGAGGUCGGCGUCCGCCGGGAGGGCGCCGCGCUCGGCGAGGGCAGAGAUCACUUGGGCGCGCGUCGCGUCGCGAUCGACCAGCACGGCGUCAGACCCCACCAGGUUGCCGUCGGCGUCAAACACAUAGGCCGCGAGGGCGGCGACGUCCGGCGGCUUGUCGGCCAGUGCCUCGUCGGCGGCGGCGGGCAGGCCCGGCCCGAGGCGCACGGAUUCGACGGGCACACGGCGGCACAGGGUCCGCUCGGCGAGCACGUCGGGGUAAAAGGCCGCCAGGUACUCGCUGCGGGUCAUGUAGUCGCGCGUCUCGUGAUUGACAAAGGUCUGGGUCACCGGCUCCCAGCGCCACCGGGCGGCCUCGGCCGGGUCGCCGGCGGUCGGCCGGCGGCCGGCCAGGAAGGACACCUCGUCGGGCGCCAGCGUGCUAAAGGACGUGGCAUAGGCGAGGCCCAGCCGCUCCAGGAUACCCUGCUGGCGCUGGCGGGCCUCCUCUUCGAGGAGCGCAUCGAGCGACGGCUCCAACGCCACGGUGACGACCGACGGCGGCCGCUCCAGGACCAUCGUCGCCGAACCUGCUCCACGCGACCGCAUCAUCGUCCUCGUUUAUUUUCCCUUUUUUUUCUUUUCGCGGUGUCCUUUUCCGCUCGUCGGCAAGCAGCCUUUUUUUUUAAAAAAAUCUUUUUCCCUC
rnacentral:lncRNA from 1 species